rnacentral:rRNA from 1 species
AAACGAUGAGUGCUAAGUGUUAGGGGUUUCCCCCUUAGUGCUGCAGCUAACGCAUUAAGCACUCCGCUGGGGAGUACGACCGCAAGGUUGAAACUCAAAGGAAUUGACGGGGGCCCGCACAGCGGUGGAGCAUGUGGUUUAAUUCGAAGCAACGCGAAGAACCUUACCAGGUCUUGACAUCCUUUGACCACUCUAGAGAUAGAGCUUUCCCUUCGGGGACAAAGUGACAGGUGGUGCAUGGUUGUCGUCAGCUCGUGUCGUGAGAUGUUGGGUUAAGUCCCGCAACGAGCGCAACCCUUAUUGUUAGUUGCCAUCAUUCAGUUGGGCACUCUAGCGAAACUGCCGGUGACAAACCGGAGGAAGGUGGGGAUGACGUCAAAUCAUCAUGCCCCUUAUGACCUGGGCUACACACGUGCUACAAUGGACGGUACAACGAGUUGCGAACUCGCGAGGGUAAGCUAAUCUCUUAAAGCCGUUCUCAGUUCGGACUGUAGGCUGCAACUCGCCUACACGAAGUCGGAAUCGCUAGUAAUCGCGGAUCAGAAUGCCGCGGUGAAUACGUUCCCGGGCCUUGUACACACCGCCCGUCACACCAUGAGAGUUUGUAACACCCAAAGUCGGUGGGGUAACCUUUAGGAGCCAGCCGCCUAAGGUGGGACAGAUGAUUAGGGUGAAGUCGUAACAAGGUAACCA